UACGGAGGGGGCGAGCGUUAUUCGGAAUUAUUGGGCGUAAAGGGCGCGUAGGCGGCCUUGUAAGUCAAAGGUGAAAUCCCUCGGCUCAACUGAGGAACUGCCUUUGAAACUGCAAGGCUUGAGGCCGGGAGGGGGUAGCGGAAUUCCCAAUGUAGCGGUGAAAUGCGUAGAUAUUGGGAGGAACACCAGUGGCGAAGGCGGCUACCUGGACCGGUCCUGACGCUGAGACGCGAAGGCGUGGGGAGCGAACGGG
rnacentral:rRNA from 1 species